rnacentral:tRNA from 1 species
UCCGUCGACUUUAGAAAUCAUGAGGGUUCAAGUCCCUCUAUCCCCA